rnacentral:rRNA from 1 species
AACGAACGCUGGCGGUAUGCUUAACACAUGCAAGUCGAACGAACAAAAUUGGGGCUUGCUCCAAUUUUAGUGAGUGGCAAACGGGUGAGUAACACGUGGGAAUCUACCUAUCAGUACGGAAUAACAUUUGGAAACAGAUGCUAAUACCGUAUAUUCUCCAAGGAGGAAAGAUUUAUCGCUGAUAGAUGAGCCCGCGCAAGAUUAGGUAGUUGGUAGGGUAAUGGCCUACCAAGCCUACGAUCUUUAGCUGGUCUGAGAGGAUGAUCAGCCACACUGGGACUGAGACACGGCCCAGACUCCUACGGGAGGCAGCAGUGGGGAAUAUUGGACAAUGGGCGAAAGCCUGAUCCAGCAAUACCGCGUGAAUGAUGAAGGCCUUAGGGUUGUAAAGUUCUUUUACCCGGGACGAUAAUGACUGUACCGGGAGAAUAAGCCCCGGCUAACUUCGUGCCAGCAGCCGCAGUAA